CAGGAUUCGCAAGUCUCCCGUAAACCCCUGUGAACAUACCUAUACUCGUUGCCUCGGCGGGUGCUCCGGUGCGAACCGGAGCGCCAGCCCGCCGGCGGCUCGCUACUCUGUAUUUACUACUGCAUCUCCGAGCAAUAGCAAACGAAUCA
rnacentral:misc_RNA from 2 species